rnacentral:rRNA from 1 species
UACGUAGGGGGCAAGCGUUGUCCGGAUUCAUUGGGCGUAAAGCGCGCGUAGGUGGCUUCGUAAGUCCGUUGUGAAAGUCAAAGGCUCAACCUUUGAAAGCCGAUGGAUACUGUGAAGCUAGAGUACGGAAGAGGCGAGUGGAAUUCCUGGUGUAGCGGUGGAAUGCGCAGAUAUCAGGAGGAACACCAAUAGCGAAGGCAGCUCGCUGGGACGUUACUGACACUGAGGCGCGAAAGCGUGGGGAGCGAACAGG